CUAUCUAGUUCUUUUCUCCACAGCGACAAAAAAAAAAAUAAACCUAGAGCGUUCCCCUUCAUCGGGCCGGAUCUCGGCGCUGCUCCUCAAUGUGUUUUGAGACCGAAGGCUCAUUAAGCUUGCGGCUAUAGAACAAAAUCCAAGACCUUUCAAUACUUUUGUCUAAUGAUAGGAAAUUCUAGAGGCACUGUCGAAACGUCGGGAAUUGGAUUGGAUUGUCUGUCAAGUUAAGGUAAUUCAGAGUACCGGAGAGUCAUAGGAUGAUGGAAUUCUUGCAUAGUCAUCGUCACAUGAGAUUUAUUAGAGACUCCACGGUAGUUUUAUAUUUUUGUUCAGACCUUAGAGUUUAUUUCAUAGU